rnacentral:rRNA from 1 species
UACAGAGGGGGCAAGCGUUGUUCGGAAUUACUGGGCGUAAAGGGCGCGUAGGCGGCCUUCUAAGUCGAACGUGAAAUCCCCGGGCUCAACCCGGGAACUGCGUCCGAUACUGGAAGGCUUGAAUCCGGGAGAGGGAUGUGGAAUUCCAGGUGUAGCGGUGGAAAUGCGUAGAUAUCUGGAGGAAUACCGGUGGCGAAGGCGGCGAUCCUGGACCGACAUUACGCGUGAACGCGAAAGCUAGGGAGCAACG